GAAGAAGUAAAAAUAAGGACUGGGAUGUAGCUCCAGGGUAAAGCAUACCUGGGUUCAAGCCUCAGUACCAAAAAAAAAAAAAAAAAAGAAAAAGAAAAAAAAUCUCCCAAUGGCUUCCCAAUUAAGAGGAUAACUCCCCCUUUUAUUAUAUAGUCUAUCAUUCUGAAUUUGGGGGUUCUGCAUCUAAACAUUCAACUCACGACAAAUGAAAAAUGAUUUGUGUGAGGCUGAGGAUUUGAACCCAGCCUCUGCAAUUUAGCCAGACCUUGUCUAAAACUAAGGAAUAAAAGGCAAGGGAUAUGGGGUUGAUGCUUAGUGGUAGAAUGCUUGCUUAGCAUGCAUGAGGCCCUGGGUUCAAUCUCCCAUAAAACACACACACACACACACACACACAAUGUUUAAAUUGCACCUGUACCAAACAUGUUGACUUUUUCUUGUCACUAUUCCACUAAACAACAUAGUAUAGCAACUAUUUACAUAACUUUUACAUUGUGUUAUGAAUUUAAAUAACCAAAAGGUGAUUUAAAGUAUGGGACUAUGUGCAUAGAAUAUAAGCAAAUACUGUACCAUUUUAUAUAAGGUAUCUUAGUAUAUAUGGUGGGAGGGCUCCCUAAUAUCCACACAUACUGAGGGAAAAGUGCAUUUUCUGCUGUUCUAGCCACAAACACCUGCAGUUUCCUUCCCACGUCAAGAUCUUGACAUGAAAUUCAUCUUUAAAGUUUUUACAAUUCCAUACUUUAAAAUGAGGUCCUGUUAGCUCUUCUUAGGUUCUGUCCCCACAUUUAUCCUUUGGCUUUCAGUUUUGUCUCCAAAACAUUUUAAUUAGGUACUCCUGUUGUAAACCUUGAUUAAUAUUCAUAUGCACACCAUCUCCAAAUACACUCAAAUAGGAUAAUGGUACAUACACUGUUUUGAACCAUUUUUUUCCGUACAAACAUUGCAACAUUCUUUUCUAUCAGUUUUUACAGAUGUGCCUUACCCUUCUGUUAUUAUUUCAUGAUGUGACUGUACCAUAAUUCACCAUUUUCCCAAAAGCUGUUCUAAUUUUUUAUUACUAUUAAUGCUAUAAUGGACAUUUUUGUAUGUGUGAAUUUAGGAUUUGUGUAUUUAUGUAAGAUGAAUUGUAAUCC
rnacentral:lncRNA from 1 species